GUAACACGUGGGUAACCUGCCCGGAAGUGGGGAAUACUCGGGGAAACUCGAGCUAAUACCGCAUGACAUCUUCGGGGACGAAAGUCCUGGCGAUCAAAGCGGGGUCGCAAGAUCUCGCGCUACGGAUGGGCCCGCGCCCGAUUAGCUAGUUGGCGAGGUAACGGCUCACCAAGGCUUCGAUCGGUAACCGGCCUGAGAGGGCGAUCGGUCACACCGGAACUGAGACACGGUCCGGACUCCUACGGGAGGCAGCAGGUGGGGAAUCUUGCGCAAUGGGCGAAAGCCUGACGCAGCAAACGCCCGCGUGGAGGGAUGAAGGCCCUUGGGUUGUCAAACUCCUGUCGGUUGGGCAAGAAAUUGUCCGGGGCUAAUACCUCCGGACAUUGACUGUACCAGCAAAGGAAAGCCCGGUUAACUCUGUGCCAGCAGCCGGGGUAAUACAGAGGGGGGCCAGCGUUAUUCGGAAUUAUUUGGGCGUAAGGGCGCGUAGGCGGCUUGGUGUCUUUCGUGAAAUCCCCUUCGGUUAACUGAGGACGUGCGGAAGAAACUGCAGGGGUUUGGAGUCCGGGAAAGGGGGGUGGAAUUCCCAGUGGUAGCGGGUGAAAUUGCG
rnacentral:rRNA from 1 species